rnacentral:rRNA from 1 species
UAGGGAAUAUUGCACAAUGGGGGAAACCCUGAUGCAGCGACGCCGCGUGAAGGAAGAAGUAUCUCGGUAUGUAAACUUCUAUCAGCAGGGAAGAAAAUGACGGUACCUGACUAAGAAGCCCCGGCUAACUACGUGCCAGCAGCCGCGGUAAUACGUAGGGGGCAAGCGUUAUCCGGAAUUAUUGGGCGUAAAGAGUACGUAGGCGGUUCUUUAAGCGCAGGGUUUAAGGCGAAGGCUUAACCAUCGUUCGCCCUGUGAACUGGAGGACUUGAGUAUCGGAGAGGAAAGCGGAAUUCCUAGUGUAGCGGUGAAAUGCGUAGAUAUUAGGAGGAACACCAGUGGCGAAGGCGGCUUACUGGACGGUAACUGACGUUGAGGCUCGAAAGCGUGGGGAGCAAACAGGAUUAGAUACC